rnacentral:rRNA from 1 species
UACGUAGGGUGCGAGCGUUAAUCGGAAUUACUGGGCGUAAAGCGUACGUAGGCGGCUUUGUAAGUUAGAGGUGAAAGCCCGGGGCUCAACUCCGGAAUUGCCUUUAAGACUGCAUCGCUUGAAUCAUGGAGAGGUGAGUGGAAUUCCGAGUGUAGAGGUGAAAUGCGCAGAUAUCGGGAGGAACACCAAUGGCGAAGGCAGCUCGCUGGGACGUUACUGACGCUGAGACGCGAAAGCGUGGGGAGCAAACAGG